AGUUGACAGUAAGACACGCCUCCACAGUUCACUAUUAAAGGGGAAAUUAAAGCUCUUCUUACACCAGUUAGAAACUGUAGAUUUAUAUUUUAUACAAAACAUGUUCAUAAACUUCUUUACACUAAAUCACUUUCACAUAAAGAGUUUCAGUUUCUUUCAGAAUGAGAAAUUUAAGUGCUCCGUCAUUUUUAUGCAAAUAUGCUGUUGCUGGCCACGCCCCAUGUUUAUGCUGAGUGUUUACCACAUGUUAGCUUUAGCUUGUGCUAAAUGGCAAAACACGAACAGGCUAGUUUAUGCUUAACUGUGACAGAAACACUGCCACAGACAGUAGGUACAGAUCCCUCCCUCAGACGAAGUCUGCUGGCUAAUCCUGCUGUGUACUUUCUGAGGUUCUUAACCAGCAGAACGAAAUGGAAAUGUUCCUUUAACUGAUCUAGUGGGCGGGGCUCCUGUAGAGGUUAACGGGUGAAAUCAGGGUGGUUCUCUGCAGGUUUCUUUAUUGUGACGUCACAGUGAGGCAGUUUCAGCAGGAUAAUGCUCACCUGCUCACCUGCUCACAAAAACAGAGGUGGGUAAAUGUGCUGCAGGAUCCAUACAGAACCUGUAGAACCUCCAAACCCAACCCUCUCAAUCUCAUCUUAUAUCCAGAAUAGAGGAACCAACAGGUUCUAGAUCCUUUUUUCAGUUACAGAACAGAUUUACCCCCCUAUAAACUCAUUAAUUAACCUUCACUCUAAUACUGAAAUCACUGUAAUAAAUCAUUACAUAAAGAUUAUAUAGAGAUUCACUUCUUGCUAAUGAGUGUAAUAUAUGUUAUAUAUUAUAAUAUUAUAUAUGAUGUUUUAAAUGCAGAAGCACAGAGUUUUAUGGGUGUCAGGAGUCCAGGUGAAUUAAUCAGCUCGGCCCUGAGACGCUCUCCAUCUGUGACCAGUCAGACGGGGGCGGAGCUAAAUCUGAGCAACGCAGAGCAGGAGAACAUCGUCUCCUCUUCUGUACAUCAAAGCAUUAACCCACUAUCUCCUCCUGCCGAGAAGGAGGAGCAUGAGGAGGAGGAGGAGCUGGAGGAGGAGGGGGAGGAGCAUCAGGAGGAGGAGCUGGAGGAGGAGGAGGAGCUGGAGGAGGAGGAGAAGCAUCAGGAGGAGGAGCUGGAGGAGGAGGAGCAUCAGGAGGAGGAGCUGGAGGAGCAUCGAGAAGGGGCGGAGCAUGGAGAGGAAGAGGGUGCUGACAGGGAGGAAAUGGAAGUGGAAGCAGAUAAAGUAGAUGAUGAUGAAGAUGAAGAAGAUGCUCAGAGUGAAGAGCUGUCUAUGCAAACUCCUGCUUUCAUCAGACAGAGGAAACAGAUCACAACUCCUGGAGCUCUGACCACGCCCCCCCGCCUGAAGAUCCACAACACUGCGUAAUUAUUUUACUAUACUAUUAUACUAUAUUAUAGUCUUUUAUAUACUAUACCAUAUUAUACUCUAUUAUACUGUACUGUAUAAUACUGUCAUAUACAGCUGUUGGACAAUGAAACUGAAGCACCUGUCAUCAUUUUAGUGGGAUUUUAGGUU
ensembl:lncRNA